GACGAACGCUGGCGGCGUGCUUAACACAUGCAAGUCGAACGGAAAGGCCCUGCUUUUGUGGGGUGCUCGAGUGGCGAACGGGUGAGUAACACGUGAGUAACCUGCCCUUGACUUUGGGAUAACUUCAGGAAACUGGGGCUAAUACCGGAUAGGAGCUCCUGCUGCAUGGUGGGGGUUGGAAAGUUUCGGCGGUUGGGGAUGGACUCGCGGCUUAUCAGCUUGUUGGUGGGGUAGUGGCUUACCAAGGCUUUGACGGGUAGCCGGCCUGAGAGGGUGACCGGCCACGUUGGGACUGAGAUACGGCCCAGACUCCUACGGGAGGCAGCAGUGGGGAAUGUUGCACAAUGGGAGGAAGCCUGAUGCAGCAACGCCGCGUGGGGGAUGACGGCCUUCGGGUUGUAAACCGCUUUCGCCUGUGACGAAGCGUGAGUGACGGUAAUGGGUAAAGAAGCACCGGCUAACUACGUG
rnacentral:rRNA from 1 species